GCGACGGCGCUGGUGGGCACGGGAACGCUGUCCUUUCUCCCGGGAUAGAAACGGAUACGCGGAAGCGCGUGCGAGUGUGGGGUGCGAAUCGCCACCUCCGGCCUUGGCUUUCCCGCUCUUCCGAGCGCUCCCACGUCUCACUUUCCCCAAAUCCGCAUUUUCCUUGGCACAGCCCUGCCCGAGCACGAAGGAGGGGGAGGUACCCGGGGGCAGUGAGAAUGACGCGUGCUGGUGCAGAGGGGGUGGGGCUGCGGGCCGCGCUCUGUGGACGGGCUCCUAAUCCUCUGGUUUUCGGAACCGUCAGCAGAUGUGGCUUCUUUUAGCUGAAUAAUCCGUUAAAGGAAUAAUAAUUUUGUAAAAAGGAGAUCGCCCUCAGCCGAAGAGGAUGGCGAACGAGAUUAAGGCUUGAUCUCCUGCCUUGGGUUGGGCUGGCUGAAUCGCUGGGGACGGCCACCAGUCUCUUAUAACGGAGAACAAAAAGACGAAGACCCUGUGGGGACGCCGGGACAAAGCGCCUCCGGCUUGGCGAGGGGGACCGCAGGAGCGCUGGCUCCGGGCACGCGCGAUCGCUGCUGAAGGGCGUCCGCCCGGCGCGCGGACCUCUGCGGGUACUCAGAUUGAAUUUUGUGUGUCCUUUUGGCAUGCUUUAUUUAACAGCGUCGGUGUUGGGGGUUGUUGUUUAGAUUUUGUUUGUCUUUUCUGGGAGGGGUAGCGGAAUCGUGGGAGAUCCAGGUGGACUUAACUUGGCUUUCCGGCGCCCCUGCCUCGCCUUCCCCAGACACUGGGGGUAGGAAGGGGACCGGGCGGGCGGGGGGGGGGUCUGGAAGGCUUAGGAAAGAGGAGCCGGCUGCUGCCAGGAGGGCUAAGGGCACAGUGGGGCGAGGUGGAGGUGAGUGAGGGCAGUCCGGCCGGAGGAGGACUGCGGGGAAGGCGUCUUCCCCGACCCACGCCACCUUGGGUCCGCAGAAUGAGUUUAGCUGGGAACGAGAAUCUGGGUGGCUGUGGGUAGGCGCUCUGAGAAAUUGGAAAUUGAUGAGAAAUUGACAUGUCCGUGUACGUGUGCGUUAAGGUGCGGACUGGAUUUGUGUGUAAACAGAGUGGAGAGGUGCAGGGCAUAGAGAGGGGUCUUAAAAUAAUGUCUUAUUGUCCCUUUGGCUUUAGGGACUCUCAUCCUCUCUCUCCCUUUUUUUUUGACCCGGGGAUCCAGCCGCAUUAUACACGAGUGACCUUUUAAAUCUACGUCCACCCUUUACCUGCGCGAGGACUGCAGCAGGCGAGUUCCGGAAGGCUGAUUCCCGAGAUCCCGGCCCCGGACCCGCAGCCGCCCUGCGGCACGCCCGGACCCCGCCGGCGGCGAGGAAAAAGCCUGGAUGCGAAAGGAUGGGGAGAACAAAGAGCCUUUGGAAGACGUCGCCGUAAUCUCAUUAAACGGCCCAGAUCUCUUUUUAAGCGGAAAAGAAAUUGACUCUUUAACAGAGGCAAAGGUAAACUGUAAGUUACUUCUAUUUCCAAGGUUGGGGGGCCGCUUUUGUGAAUGCAUGAGGGAUUUUAGCCAGAGAGCUAUUUGGGAACCGGGUAUGUCCUCAGCAGACAUGCGCCCAUAUACACACAUGCUUACACAUCCAUUUUCUUGCAUGACAAUAUCGGUGCAUCGUAUUUAGAGGAAGGCAUUUGACCACAAAAAAUAAAAAUAAAAAAAUCCAUCCGUCUAUACUGACUCCACAGGGAAAUAAUUCUUUCCCUCUAUUGAACUUACAUAAUACCCCCCCCAUUCCAACCUGAGAAUGGAGUCCUCUGGGGGCAGCUGCAAAACGUUCGCUGGGACAGAUGGCACCUCCCCUUCCUCAUCUACUCUGUGGGUGGUUUUCGAGAGUGAGUCAACACGGGCUGGCUGAGUUGAGCUGGUGGUACGAGUGCUGGAGGCUUAGCUGGCUGAUUCACGGUGACCAGCAUGUCAACAACAACAACCAUGAGAAUGAUGGUACCUAAUAAAGAUCUUUUUUUUUCUUCCAAGUCCCAUCUACCAUUCUUUCAUUGGGUGUUUUGCCAAGUCUUACUCAAUUUGAUUUCAGUUUUUUUUUUUAAAGAAAACAUUUAACACUUCAUUGCAUCAUACAUGUAGACCUGCAGCAAGAAAAAGGACUUCAGAUGGAAUUUAUUCGAGGCAGUGUGCUCAAGGCCAUGUGCACUGCUUUGUCCUCUAUACCGGUGUGCAGAGACCUCAGAGCACCAAAUUUAGAUGGCCUCAAAAAAAAAAAAAAAAAAAAAA